UUUUCGGUGGCGCAGUUGGUUAGCGCGCUUAUCUAUAGAAACUAAGAGGUCGCGGGUUCGAUCCCCGCUCGAGGCA